CAGGCUUAACACAUGCAAGUCGAGGGCAUCACAGAGAUAGCUUGCUAUCUUGGGUGGCGACCGGCGCACGGGUGAGUAACGCGUAUCCAACCUGCCCAUUACUCUGGGAUAGCCUUGCGAAAGUAAGAUUAAUACCGGAUGUUGUUAAAAACCCGCAUGAGUUUUUAACCAAAGAUUUAUUGGUAAUGGAUGGGGAUGCGUGACAUUAGGUAGUAGGUGAGGUAACGGCUCACCUAGCCGACGAUGUCUAGGGGUUCUGAGAGGAAGGUCCCCCACACUGGUACUGAGACACGGACCAGACUCCUACGGGAGGCAGCAGUGAGGAAUAUUGGUCAAUGGGCGAGAGCCUGAACCAGCCAAGUAGCGUGAAGGAAGACUGCCCUAUGGGUUGUAAACUUCUUUUGUAUGGGAAUAAAGUUCAGUACGUGUACUGUUUUGUAUGUACCAUACGAAUAAGCAUCGGCUAGUUCCGUG
rnacentral:rRNA from 1 species